UCAUUUAAACAUAAUUAUUAUUAGUUGUAUAUAUAAUUUAAAUUUUUUGCCAUUUAAUAAACCCUGCUGUUUAAUUUACCUUAAAAAGAUAUUAUAAAAUAAAGUAUGUUUUUUUCUCCCCACAAAUUACUUCAUGUUUGGUUUGGGGAUCGAAUAAGUAAUAACAUGUGAAUACAUUUAAAGAUGUCUGUGUCAAAAGUAGACAUAAUUGCUGAGUUUUAUAGCAAUGGUUCAAAGAUGGGGUUGCUGAUAAGAUUAGGGUGUGUGCAGGAACUGCACUCCUUUCAUCUGGUCUCAGGUAAUCUCUUGAUGAGCUUUUCUGGUUCCUUUAAUCUGGCCUCAGGUGGUCUUCCGUGGAAUGAAGAAUCCUGACAUCUUCCAUUUGUUAGGGGUUUUAGAUCUAUAAAGAGCUUAAAGAUAUUGUUAUGUGCAUCCCUUGAAGAACCAGGAUCCUGCCCCAAGGCUGCACUAUUCUUUCUCGGCUGUUCUUCCCUUGUCUCUGCAUCCCCUCCCUUCCCUGAUUAGCAACUAUCAUAGAACCUGGGGUCUGUUCCUUACAAACAAGGAACGGGGGACACAGAAAGGCUUCUGUGGCCAGGAGCCCCAUAGGGUCCUGCUCGGUUUCAGUACUAAGGCCUGGAAAUGUGGCUAGUGGGACUGAGGAACUGAAUUUUAAACCUUACUUAAUUUUAAUUAAAGUUUAAUU